GACGAACGCUGGCGGCGUGCCUAAUACAUGCAAGUUGAGCGAUGAAGAUUGGUGCUUGCACCAAUUUGAAGAGCAGCGAACGGGUGAGUAACGCGUGGGGAAUCUGCCUUUGAGCGGGGGACAACAUUUGGAAACGAAUGCUAAUACCGCAUAACAACUUUAAACAUAAGUUUUAAGUUUGAAAGAUGCAAUUGCAUCACUCAAAGAUGAUCCCGCGUUGUAUUAGCUAGUUGGUGAGGUAAAGGCUCACCAAGGCGAUGAUACAUAGCCGACCUGAGAGGGUGAUCGGCCAAAUUGGGACUGAGAAACGGCCCAAACUCCUACGGGAGGCAGCAGUAGGGAAUCUUCGGCAAUGGACGAAAGUCUGACCGAGCAACGCCGCGUGAGUGAAGAAGGUUUUCGGAUCGUAAAACUCUGUUGGUAGAGAAGAACGUUGGUGAGAGUGGAAAGCUCAUCAAGUGACGGUAACUACCCAGAAAGGGACGGCUAACUACGUG
rnacentral:rRNA from 1 species